rfam:Clostridium sp. CAG:590 genomic scaffold, scf26
ACAAUGAUACUUCUGUCCAGCCACAGCCCUUCGUUAUAGAAGGAACACGCAAUGGGGGCAGCCCGGUGCGAACCACGGGGAGGUUAGAUUCCUAUGG